AAGCUUUGCAAUGGUUCAGUCAGUAGAGCAUGAGACUCUUAAUCACAGGGUUGUGGAUUCGAGCCCCAUGGUUGGUUUU